CAGUCGCCGCGGUAAUGCGUAGGUGGCAAGCGUUGUCCGGAAUUAUUGGGCGUAAAGGGCUCGCAGGCGGUUUCUUAAGUCUGAUGUGAAAGCCCCCGGCUCAACCGGGGAGGGUCAUUGGAAACUGGGAAACUUGAGUGCAGAAGAGGAGAGUGGAAUUCCACGUGUAGCGGUGAAAUGCGUAGAGAUGUGGAGGAACACCAGUGGCGAAGGCGACUCUCUGGUCUGUAACUGACGCUGAGGAGCGAAAGCGUGGGGAGCGAACAGGAUUAGAUACCCGCGUAGUCCCUGUCUCUUAUAC
rnacentral:rRNA from 1 species